rnacentral:rRNA from 1 species
UACGUAGGGUGCAAGCGUUAUUCGGAAUUACUGGGCGGAAAGCGUGCGCAGGCGGUUUUGCAAGACAGAUGUGAAAUCCCCGGGCUCAACCUGGGAAUUGCAUUUGUGACUGCACGGCUAGAGUGUGUCAGAGGGGGGUAGAAUUCCACGUGUAGCAGUGAAAUGCGUAGAUAUGUGGAGGAAUACCGAUGGCGAAGGCAGCCCCCUGGGAUAACACUGACGCUCAUGCACGAAAGCGUGGGGAGCAAACAGG